UAUGCCUUGUUUUCUUAGAGUAUCAGUGCAGACACCACCCUUGUGCAACUGGAUACCGAUGCCAAGCAAGGAGAGUUAAUAAUAAUAAAUUUCACCAAGACUGCAAUGAUAUCAAUGAAUGCCAAGAGGGCACACACAACUGCCCACACGAGUGUACUAAUACAGUUGGAGGCUUCCACUGCACUGAUUUCUGCAAUGAAACUCCCUGCGAAGAUGAUGAAACAUGCGAAGUGAAGAUGGUCUAUAACAAGCCAAUGCAAGUAUGCAGAAGAGUCGGUCGCGCGUAAAGCUUCAAGGUGGGCUCCACUCCACCGAGACCGUAUUUUCACAUAUCCUAAAUGUUUGCAAGCCACAAUAUUGUCUUCAAUUCUCCUUCUUUUCAUCUUCCAUCUUUGGUCCAAUGUCAGUCAAGCAUUUCAAGCCGCCUUUGCAAGGAUGUGGUCAUGUGCAAUGUGUGCUGGGCCGCGGAUUGUGUGUGUGUGUGUGUUUUUUUUAAUGAUUGUGAUGUGAGCGAGUUGUUAGCCAGGGGGUCGGCAGAUAAUAAUACAGUCAUCUCUCUUUAGCUAAUCCAGCACUUUAUAAACCAGCACAAUUUGUUGUCACCAAAAUGUCCUUUUCAUGCACAUUGCAGCAGUAAAUCAGAUCUUCUAAUC